rnacentral:snRNA from 1 species
AUACUUACCUGGCAGGGGAGAUACCAUGAUCACUAAGGUGGUUCUCCCAGGUAGGGUGCCAACCCACCACAGGACACACACAAACACACCCACACACCAAGCACACACUAGGGCCAAUUUAGAAUCGCCAAUCCACCUAACCUGCAUGUCUUUGGACUGUGGGAGGAAACCGGAGCGCCCG